rnacentral:lncRNA from 1 species
AUAAAAAAAAAAAAAAAACGGAAAAGAUUACCUGAGCUGCUUUACACUGCAGACUCUCUCUUCUUUUCUUUUGUAUUUCUCUGCUCCACCAUCUUAGCAGGCAAGGAGCUGCCUGUCAUGAAUAUAGACACUCAUAGAGUGAAGUUGGCAAGGCUAUAGAGUAGGUUUAGGUGUAGAGUUUUUCUGAUUGGUUUCAGAAUGAGAGUCGGCUAGGGAUCGACUUGUAUGAGGAAAGGGUUUUGGGGCAGGAAAGAAAACGAAUGUUUUGAAGAGAAAGGAGAAUCCUUUUCAGUUCUACUCUUAUCAAAGGUUGAUUCAGUAUUUUGCUUAAGAUUUAUUUGUUCUUACUAUAUGUUCUUAGAUUCUAUUAGUUCUAUUUACUCUAAUUUUGGAUUCUUAGUCUAUGGCUGUGUUCUUGGUUAUGGCUGUGUUGUAUGAUUAAAGUUUGGGUAUUGAAGUCUCAGACUUGAUUAGAUACAAGACUUAAAUUCGAAUUGUUGUAGUUGUUGUUGAACAUGAUUGCUGCUCAAGAACAGUUUGGGUGUCCAAAGCAGAUUUUGGGUUUUCUUGGUUCAUAAUUGUUGCGUUUAAGAAUGUGUUGGAGUUUUGGGUACCUUUUUCUAUCUGUUUUGAAGUUUUAGAACUUCAUUCAUUGAUCCAAAAGUCGAUUUCAAACUUGAAAAAUCAAGAUUCAUUGUAGCUGGAAAUUUCCAGAAAAUUUUGCAGAAAAGCUUAUUUUUAGGUCAACUUUGCAGCAUGUUAUCUCUCAACUCAGAGUUUUGUUUUGAAAUCCGAAAGUAGUUUUGUAAACCUUGUAUAUCCAUCAUUGUGUGUGUUAAAUUUCACAGGUUUU